rnacentral:rRNA from 1 species
UACGUAGGGCGCAAGCGUUGUCCGGAAUUAUUGGGCGUAAAGAGCUCGUAGGCGGCUUGUCACGUCGGUUGUGAAAGCCCGGGGCUUAACCCCGGGUCUGCAGUCGAUACGGGCAGGCUAGAGUUCGGUAGGGGAGAUCGGAAUUCCUGGUGUAGCGGUGAAAUGACGCAGAUAUCAGGAGGAACACCGGUGGCGAAGGCGGAUCUCUGGGCCGAUACUGACGCUGAGGAGCGAAAGCGUGGGGAGCGAACAGG